rnacentral:rRNA from 1 species
AUUGAACGCUGGCGGCAUGCCUUACACAUGCAAGUCGAACGGUAACGGGUCCUUCGGAAUGCCGACGAGUGGCGAACGGGUGAGUAAUAUAUCGGAACGUGCCCAGUAGUGGGGGAUAACUGCUCGAAAGAGCAGCUAAUACCGCAUACGACCUGAGGGUGAAAGGGGGGGAUCGCAAGACCUCUCGCUAUUGGAGCGGCCGAUAUCAGAUUAGCUAGUUGGUGGGGUAAAGGCCUGCCAAGGCAACGAUCUGUAGUUGGUCUGAGAGGACGCCCAGCCACACUGGGACUGAGACACGGCCCAGACUCCUACGGGAGGCGGCAGUGGGGAAUUUUGGACAAUGGGCGCAAGCCUGAUCCAGCAAUGCCGCGUGCAGGAAGAAGGCCUUCGGGUUGUAAACUGCUUUUGUCAGGGAAGAAAUCUUCUGGGCUAAUACCCCGGGAGGAUGACGGUACCUGAAGAAUAAGCACCGGCUAACUACGUGCCAGCCGCCGCCGUAA